AGACGGACGGGAGGAUGAAAGGAAGAGGGAGAGAGAGACAGAGUGGUGGUUCUGUGGGAGGGGGAAAGAAGGAGGUGUAGAGACAGGAAUGCAGGAAAAGAAGGGGAAUGCUUCUGCUGGCAAUGAUGAAGGAGCUGCAGCUGUAAGAAGAGUCCAGUGUCACAGUCUGCUGUCACAAUGUCACAAACAAACUGGUGCAGGGGUUUCCUGCUGUCUGGUGUUCAGCAGGUGAAGUGGAGCUCAGGCAGACUGAGACUGUGUGACAGACUUGGCCACUUGGGGAUAUUCCACCUUUGACUCUAAACACUUUCUUUGAUAGAGGUUGG